AGUGAGUGCAUACGUUUUCGUAUGUGUUCUUCGUACUGGUUCAAUAUCUGAUACGUCCCCUAUCCGGGGACUAUAUAUUAAAUUGAUUUUUGGAGCAGGGAGAUGGAAUAGGGGCUUGCUCCGUCCACUCCACGCAUCGACCUGGUAUUGCACAGUACCUCCAGGAACGGUGCACCCCCU
rnacentral:snRNA from 1 species